CUUUUUUUUUAAAGGCAACCCUAGUGGUUCCAUGGCCAAAUAAAAUUGGGAAACACUGCUUUAUGAAGAACACCUAGAGAGUUGUGAAGUCUGGAAGAGUCCAACAGAGACCCGUUAGUCACCCUCCCCAUACUGGCGAGGACUGAAACUGGACUUAGCGACGCCCAAACGCCGCGGGUCAACUGGCUGAAUGCAAGCCACUCUCCGAGCAAUAAAUUAAUGAAUUCUCCCAGUCUUGCGAAGGGGGUGGGCGAGUCUUUCUUUUAUGCCGGGCCAGACAGCAGCGGGGGGAGCAGAGAAGUAGAAAGGGGAGUAGGGCUGAGAAAGUGACGGGGUACUCCAUAAAUAUUAUAUUGGAACUCGUUUGCAUUUGAGCCUGCGCUGGGUGACAGGCGGGCCAGACAAUCCCUGCAUUGAACUGUCAGGCGGCGGCUAGACAGCCCAGCUGGUGUGAAUGGGCUGCGCAGCGGGUGAGAAAGGACCCAUGGGUUCAAGGUCAGAGGUAGCCCCUCGUGUAUUAUUCAGCCAAUCCCCUUCACUUUUGUCCAUAAAACUAAUAAAGUGAACUGGCUGUUACACGCUGAACAUACCAACUGGCUGCCAGUGCCAAGCGGGGGGCUGGGAACUGGUGCUCACCCCCCUCUCUGACCCGCUGUAACGUUGUUUCAGGGCCCCUCAUCCACUCAGCGUCUGACGAAGACGUCGAUCCCACCGCACCCCCCAAGGCAUGUGUCCAUGUGGUGACGGCGCGUCAGGGAGCCCCGACCCUGCACCCCCGUCCGCAGCCAGAUGUUUCUCCCCGCCAGCCAGUAGAGUAAAAAGGGUUUAUUGCUUCUCUGAGAUACAACACAGCAAAGGCUCGAUGUUGACUUAGGAGCCAGGGCAGAGCCUUAGCGCUCUCAGGAGGAAGAGGGUCGCAGGCCCCUGAUCCCCUCCUGUCUUGGACUUAGUCUGCUUCCGUCAUGCUUCCCCCAGCUAAGACUGCUCCAACCCCCAGCAACUGGUCUCUCAACCCCCAGGCAACCACACCCCUUGCUUUGUUCAGAGUCCACCACCUAGCCCAGGUGUCAGGCGGCUGGGCCAUGCCUACACACACACACACACACAGCCUCUGCAGAUCAGCAUAGGGCAGUAGGGGUCAAACACACACACAGAGCCUCUGCAGAUCAGCAUAGGGCAGUAGGGGUCACACACAACACACACACACACGCACAGCCUCUGCAGAUCAGCAUAGGGCAGUAGGGGUCACACACAACACACACACACACACACAUAGCCUCUGCAGAUCAGCAUAGGGCUGUAGGGGUCACACACACACACACACACACACAGCCUCUGCAGAUCAGCAUAGGGCAGUAGGGGUCACACACAGCACAACACAGCAACCAGUGACUGCAAAACCAGAGUGGAUCCAGUGAAUGCCACAAGACAGCACCUCCACUACGUCACACCCGUGAACCCGCGUGAACGGUAUGGUGGCUCGGAAAAAGAGCUCUCUCCUCCCGCAGGAUCUUUGUUCGGAGGUUAACGAAAGAUGUGAGAAGGCGGGAGACCAGAGGAUGAUCUGGGGGGCAAUGGAAGGGGCCAAGAAGGGAGCACGGUUCUUGAGUUGGGAUUUCCAAAGGCGUUCGUCACCCGGGCCCCCCUGAUUCCUCAGAAGUCCUGUGAAAUCCCAGCUGGAGGGUUGGACAUGAGUGGACCAGUAGGGAGGAUCGGGAUGGUGCUAAGAAAAAAGAAGCUUAGGGCCCAGUUCUCUGCUGGUGCAACGUGGCACAAGUCCACAUUACAGCAGGCGGAGGAAUCUAUCCUGGAGGCAAUAGACCAAACUUCCUGCCGAUGUGAUGGAUCUGGCUGGGGCGUCAGCCCCCCAGGGGAAGGGGAGAGGUCUCUAUUCCCCUCUCCCUGCCCCGCUGUGAAAAGGAUCUAGCUGGGGAAUUGUUUCCCUGUGGCUUGGGCCCGGACCAGGCAGAACAAAAGCGAAUGUAACCAAGGAACUGAUCCUGCCCUGGACCUGGGAGAUGGGCAGGAUUGGUCUUGCCAGGAAGUCUCUAUGAAAACCGCUCUGAUUCUCUGCACAUGAUUCCAACCUCCCACGGCCACCCCGACACUCCACCGACCGAUCCCAUCCACUUACAGGUCUCAGGCCUGCAACGCGCGCAGCACCGGGGAUUCAUACCGGGCCCCUCGUGCUGCCAGGGGGGAAGUAAGAGAUUCCCUAGGGAGUUCCGGCUCUUUAGGAGCAUCGUGUCCCUCGGUUGCGUGACCCCCCAGCGGUGAGUCCAGCCGAACAGACAGAUGCCCGCGACCUCUGGGUGUGCCUCCCGCCCAGCAAAGCCGUCUCUCUCUCUCCUCCAGAUCCUCACGCCGCUCUGCUUCCCAGCAGCCAAGCAGUUAAUCCAAUCUCAGCAUUUCAGACAUCCACUCUUCCCAUUCCCCAGUGACACCUGACCAGCCGCCACCUGUGUCGGGCAUACGGGGCACUUGUAAAUGGCGAUUUCCCAUCAGUCAAAUUAAUCAGAAGGGGAUUUCCGGCACUGGCCCGCAAGUUCAAGGUAGCGUGAUCAGAUGUGGAAGGGGACGACCACGAAAGCCACAAGAACCAGACGGCAUGAGCAAGAGGCUGCAUUGGACGGCAAAAAAGAAAGAAAGAAAGAAAGAAAGAAAGAAAGAAAGAAAGAAAGAAAGAAAGAAAGAAAGAAAGAAAGAAAGAAAGAAAGAAUGGUUGGCCAGCUGCAUUCUCUGUAGUAAGACAAGCUGUACAUCUCCCCUCUGAGCAGAAAGGACCAAAGUAAACAGAGCCAAAUCCAGCACGGGGAGUUGCAUUCUGCCUCCCAGAAUUCCCCCUUGUGAUUUCCACUGGAUACGGGAUUAUGCUUCACGUGGUUGCGUAGCUGAGGUCAACACCACCUCAAGGUGGCAUACACUCAAGGACCAAAUCCAGCAGCUGGAAGCAGGGGUAAACGCUGUCUUUUAUGUGGACUAGUCAUUAGAGGGUGACAAAAGUAGGGAUGUGAAUGGUUAACUGCCCCUGGUUAAGCAGUUCACCGGUUAAAAAUAACCGGUUAACUGAUUAAAUGGGACUUUACAUCCCUAGACAAAUGCCUACAAGCAUGGGUUACCUGGCACUGCUGUGUGUCGUGACACAGAUGCUGUAUCUUACCACGAAAGCAAGUCAAGCUGAGCCCCUGUAUAUAACUUCUCGGUCAGUUUGUAAUGCAUCUCGGGACCCCAUGGAAAGAAAGAAGCUAUUGGCCGUGUGAGUUCUAAGGGUCCUGCCUGCUGCUGGGUGAGAUGUGUAUUAAAAAUAUGAAC